GCCACACUGGAACUGAGACACGGUCCAGACUCCUACGGGAGGCAGCAGUGGGGAAUAUUGCACAAUGGGCGCAAGCCUGAUGCAGCCAUGCCGCGUGUAUGAAGAAGGCCUUCGGGUUGUAAAGUACUUUCAGCGGGGAGGAAGGGAGUAAAGUUAAUACCUUUGCUCAUUGACGUUACCCGCAGAAGAAGCACCGGCUAACUCCGUGCCAGCAGCCGCGGUAAUACGGAGGGUGCAAGCGUUAAUCGGAAUUACUGGGCGUAAAGCGCACGCAGGCGGUUUGUUAAGUCAGAUGUGAAAUCCCCGGGCUCAACCUGGGAACUGCAUCU
rnacentral:rRNA from 1 species